UACGAAGGGGGCUAGCGUUGCUCGGAAUCACUGGGCGUAAAGCGCACGUAGGCGGCUUUCUAAGUCAGGGGUGAAAUCCUGGAGCUCAACUCCAGAACUGCCUUUGAUACUGGAGAGCUUGAGUCCGGAAGAGGUGAGUGGAACUCCGAGUGUAGAGGUGAAAUUCGUAGAUAUUCGGAAGAACACCAGUGGCGAAGGCGGCUCACUGGUCCGGUACUGACGCUGAUGUGCAAAAGCGUGGGGAGCAAACAGG
rnacentral:rRNA from 1 species